UACGUAGGGUGCAAGCGUUAAUCGGAAUUACUGGGCGUAAAGCGUGCGCAGGCGGUUUUGUAAGUCUGACGUGAAAUCCCCGGGCUCAACCUGGGAAUUGCGUUGGAGACUGCAAGGCUGGAGUCUGGCAGAGGGGGGGUAGAAUUCCACGUGUAGCAGUGAAAUGCGUAGAGAUGUGGAGGAACACCGAUGGCGAAGGCAGCCCCCUGGGUCAAGACUGACGCUCAUGCACGAAAGGCGUGGGGAGCAAACGA
rnacentral:rRNA from 1 species